AGCCCGUCUGGAAACACGGACCAAGGAGUCUUACAAUAAUGCGAGUGUUUGUCAUGGAAUGACGAACGCGCAGCGAAAGCGAAAUAGCUCUUGAACACGAGCGGGGCCUCUCUUUCCUCGGAAGGAGAAUACACUUGAAGCAUUACUGUAGGGACCCGAAAGAUGGUGAACUAUGCCUGAGCAACUUGAAGUCAGGCGAAAGCCUGAUGGAGGAGUGCAAACGGUUCUGACGUGCAAAUCGAUCGUGAGAUUUAGGUAUAGGGGCGAAAGACUAAUCGAACCAUCUAGUAGCUGGUUCCCUCCGAAGUUUCCCCCAGGAUAGCAGGAGCUUGAUUCAGUUUUAUCGGGUAAAGCGAAUGAUUAGAGGUUCGGGGAAUGAAACAUUCUUCACCUAUUCUCAAACUUUAAAUAGGUAAGACGCGCUGGUUGCUUAAUUGAACCAUCGCAAUCAAUGUGAGCUCCUAGUGGGCCAUUUUUGGUAAGCAGAACUGGCGAUGCGGGAUGAACCGAUAGUCGAGUUAAGGUGCCUAACUACGCACUAACCUAGAUCCCACAAAGGGUGUUGAUUGAUAUAGACAGCAGGACGGUGGCCAUGGAAGUCGGAAUCCGCUAAGGAGUGUGUAACAACUCACCUGCCGAAUGAACUAGCCCUGAAAAUGGAUGGCGCUGUAGCGGGCGACUUUUGCCCGGCCAUGGUCGCUCUGGGUGCGGUCAUGAGUAGGAGGGCGUGGGGGUUGUGCGGCAGGCCGUGGCGCGAGCCAGGCUGAAGCGGCCCCUAGUGCAGAUCUUGGUGGAAGUAGCAAGUAUUCAAGCGUGAACUUUGAAGACUGAAGUGGGGAAAGGUUCCAUGUGAACAGCAGUUGUACAUGGGUGAGUCGGUCCUAAGGCGUGCAGAGGGUGGUUUGUAGGCACCGCGGCGUCGAAAGGGAAGCAGGUUAAUAUGUCCUGCACAAGGGUAGGUGUGCUAAAAGGUGGCGACACGUGGAGUGUCUGGAGACGUCUGCGGGUACCCCGGGAAGAGUUGUCUUUUCUAUUUGACAGAGAGAGUGUUGUGCGGAGUCGAGUUGUUGGGCGAUGCAGAGCAUGUCUUUGGCAUAGCCUCGUCUGUAUGUGGCGAGGUCCGGUGUGUAUUCGACGGUCCGUGAAAAUCCAGGCGCUAGAAGUGAAGGUAAGGUCCUCCGUUGCCGUACUGAUAACCGCAACAGGUCUCCAAGGUGAAAAGCCUCUAGUUGAUAGAAGAAUGUAGAUAAGGGAAGUCGGCAAGAUAGAUCCGUA
rnacentral:rRNA from 1 species